rnacentral:rRNA from 1 species
AACGAACGCUGGCGGCAUGCCUAACACAUGCAAGUCGAACGAGACCUUCGGGUCUAGUGGCGCACGGGUGCGUAACGCGUGGGAACCUGCCCUUAGGUUCGGAAUAACUCCCCGAAAGGGGUGCUAAUACCGGAUAAUGUCUUCGGACCAAAGAUUUAUCGCCUUUGGAUGGGCCCGCGUUGGAUUAGCUAGUUGGUAGGGUAAAAGCCUACCAAGGCGACGAUCCAUAGCUGGUCGGAGAGGAUGAUCAGCCACACUGGGACUGAGACACGGCCCAGACUCCUACGGGGAGCAGCAGUGGGGAAUAUUGGACAAUGGGCGAAAGCCUGAUCCAGCAAUGCCGCGUGAGUGAUGAAGGCCUUAGGGUUGUAAAGCUCUUUUACCCGGGAUGAUAAUGACAGUACCGGGAGAAUAAGCUCCGGCUAACUCCGUG